CAGGUCUUGAAAUAUAUGGCCUAUAAAAUCAUUCUCGUUGGGAAAGAAUUACAGACAAGUCAUCAUCCUUUGAGGAUAAGUUUGAUUAAAAGGAGAGGUGUUUGACAAUGAAAAGUCAGGAAAUCAAAGGGAUUUACAGCGGAAUCCAGUUCGUUUAUGAACUAUAAGAAGAAUUCAGUAUGUUUCAUCAUUUUCACCAAAGGAAGGAAAUCAGCAAAGAGCCCAACCCUCUGGGUAAGAAGCAACCUCAACAAUUAGGAAGGGGGAAGUCCGAUUGCAGUGUCCUGCUGCCACAAAUCAUGCGGUCAAGUUUCCUACGUUUGGGGAAAUUACAGAGGUCAACACAUUCAGAGUGCAAAGGAUGAGCCUCACCCUAAGAAAACCACUUUUGUGAUCACGGUAACUCCCCUGCCAUGGAGACAAAGAAGGAAAUGUCAACUGAAUGCGAAGCUGUGUGAUUAUCCAAAUGAUCUCAUAACAGUCAUCCAAGGGACAACAGCAAAAGUUCUGACUUAAUGAAACCUACCAUUUUCUACCCUACUAACUUUCCUAUUUCAAGUGUUGCCUGGAAAGAAAGUCUUAGUUUUGAAUGAAGUAAUUAAAAAAAAAGGUGCAUCUGGAACUAUGGAUCUACACGAAGAGGAAGAGCAUUACAAAGGCUGCACAUGACUAGAACGAAACUCCACAAGGAUACACGAAGAAUGAUUGAUGUUCAUUUUCAAUUCUAUAGACUGGGAAGUCCAAGAUCAAGGCACUAGAAGAUUCAGUCUGAUGAGAGCUGCUUUCUGGCUUAUGGAUGGCUAUUUUCUGGCAGAAACGGUUGUGUUUUCCCUGCUGUUAAGUGUACCAGUUAGCACCUUGCUGCUGCUCAGUAGCUGCUCUCCUAACGUGGCUGUGAAAAGAAGAAAAUGGAAAACUAAAUACAACAGGGACAGACUAACGGUGAAUUUAAGUCAUCAGUGACACUUGUGGAAUUAUCGUCUCAGCACAACUGUAACUUACUGACCAGGCCACAUGAGGAAAAGCCAACUGGAGGCAAAUUAUCCAAACUAAACUACUGAAAUGGUACAGGCAAAUUGUUUCCAAGAUAUGAACCACAACCAGUAACACGAGAAGGCUCAUGGUAAUGUCAGAAUGAUAGGACAAGCAUCACAUGGCAUGGAAAGGAUGAAGGGCAGCUGCCAAGGAGACAGUUUUCAUUACAGACUAUCAGACAUACUCAUAAAAAGACCUUUCAUGGCAUUUGAUAUCGACUCUCAAGUAUGUUGAAAUGGAAAAUAGUAUGCAAGUUGCACAGAGCAGGAAGAAGAAUGGUUACUCUGACUACAAUAACCUUAGCCUCCUUCUUUAUGAAUACAACGUGCAUUUUCCAUACAGCCAGGGACUUCAGAACACACGAGACAGGAUGGUAGUUUCAUCUCUUGGACCUUGGUUUCCCCAUGAAGAAAGACCGUACGCCUUCCUUGCCGAAGCCCAGAUUUGGCUCCAGAGUCAUGCUGCUCUCACAGAAUGACUUUGAAGUUACAAAGAUUGAAAUUUAAAAAUUUUCAACUAUGAUUUUGGAUUGGUCUGCUUCUCCUUGUUUUGAGAGAAAAAAGACUGAUCUCCCCAGAAGAAGACGGAAUUCUGCCAGCCAACUUGGACGUGAACUGCAGUUCUUCCCUGGAUCUCUAGUCUGCCAGCCGACCCUGCAGAUUUUGGACUUGCCAAGACUCCACGAUCAUAUGUACCUUUCCGAAGUUAUAAAGUCAAUUUGAUUUUUCCUGAAUAAUCAUGUCACACCCUGAGGUGAUGAAAGAGGAUUCUAGGCCCCGCUGCUUUCCUGUAUUCAAAACUGGUUGAAAGCAUGAAGGUUUAUUCUUCUUGUUGUUGAUAUAAAAGGUAGGAUCAGCAUGACUGCUUUACUUGUCUUUUGGCAUUCUCUUUGGGAGUGUAGAAUAUAUUUUCUUUUAUAGAAUAUGCUUCCAAACCGAAUACAGAAUCUGAGGGAUGGUUUUGCAUUUCUUCCAAUGUUUUUUUGUGUGUGUGUGAAGGAAAUAUUAAGCAUGCCCUUUACAUUUGUACAAGUCAUGCUUAAUUUAAAAUUAAGUGCAAAAGGAAAUGUAGA